rnacentral:RNase_P_RNA from 1 species
CGAGGAAGACAGACGGUCGCGUGGGCAGGCCGAAAGGCCGUCCAUGAGGAAAGUCCGGGCUCCACAGGGCAAGGAUAACGGGUAACGCCCGCCGAAGGCGACUUCAGGAAAAGUGCAACAGAGAUAUACCGCCGACAGAGUUACACUGUGCUGGUAAUGAGUCUGCAGCGAGAAGGAUUGAAUCGCUCCCAAGUAUGCACGCGGGGGUGAGUGUGAGAGGGGGACGCCAAGUCCCACUUUCACGAUUGCAAUCACCCGCCCGCAGGCGACCGAUGUCCGAAGGGAAUCGGCUUACCGGCAGAGCGUAGCUCUGCCGGUAAGGGUGGAAAGGUGAGGUAAGAGCUCACCCGAUGACUGGAAACUGCUCAUCGCUGUAAACUCUAUCCGGAGCAACACCGUGGAGGAAGCAACAGGUUGGCCCGACCGCUUCCGGGAGGUGGCUUGAGCGUGCCGGCAACGGUACGCCUAGAUAGAUGACUGUCAAAUACAGAACCCGGCUUACAGUUUUGCUCGCAAC